rnacentral:rRNA from 1 species
AGUUCGUGGAUUGAUUUGUCUGGUUGAUUCCGUUAACGAGCGAGAUCUUAACCUGCUAAAUAGGUUCCCAAAGAUUCUUUUGAUGUAACCUUCUUAGAGGGACUUUGCGUGUUUAACGCAAGGAAGUUUGAGGCAAUAACAGGU